ACCACAUUGUAAUAGUACUCUUGAAUAUUAGCACAUCCAUUCUAGCACCAAAAUGCAGUCAAAUUCACAUCCCAUCUAUCUCUCAUCCUCGGAGAAAUUGAUCCUUAGAGAUCACCAGUCUUCGUAGUUUGCUUCAGCUUCUUUUUCGUGCCAAACAUUUACCAUCAAUUUUGGUAGUUACAAGGGGAAAUCAGAUGGCGUCAUAGCUAGGGUAACCGAGGAUACCUUCUAGAGCCCCCAAAUCAAAGAGCUCUGCCGAAACGUUGGUGCUCAGCUUGCUUUUCGCGCUUUGGGGCAUUUUUAAUAUUUACUUCGAUAUCUAUAACAAGCAGGUAUAGGGAACAUCUUGACAAGAGGAGGAGUGCCCUAUCUGGACUACUCUCUCUUGGAGGCUUGUGGCUGAAAAAAUCGAGAAGAAGAUAAAGAUGACGGAUUUUGAUAUCUUUGCUAUUUCUAGCUAAGUCUCCAAAUGCUUAAAGUGGAGAUGUUGUGUAACAUCCCAGAAUUUUGUGACUUUUAUUUAAUAAGUUGAUUUGAAAUUUCAAUUAUGAAAUUUCUUUGUUUCUA